rnacentral:siRNA from 1 species
UUCAUUCAAGGACUUCUAUUC